rnacentral:rRNA from 1 species
AUUGAACGCUGGCGGAAUGCUUUACACAUGCAAGUCGAACGGUAGAGGGGGCAACCCCUUGAGAGUGGCGAACGGGUGAGUAAUAUAUCGGAACGUGCCCAGUCGUGGGGAUAACGUAGCGAAAGUUACGCUAAUACCGCAUACGAUCUAAGGAUGAAAGCGGGGGAUCGCAAGACCUCGCGCGAUUGGAGCGGCCGAUAUCAGAUUAGGUAGUUGGUGAGGUAAAGGCUCACCAAGCCAACGAUCUGUAGCUGGUCUGAGAGGACGACCAGCCACACUGGAACUGAGACACGGUCCAGACUCCUACGGGAGGCAGCAGUGGGGAAUUUUGGACAAUGGACGCAAGUCUGAUCCAGCCAUUCCGCGUGCAGGAUGAAGGCCCUCGGGUUGUGAACUGCUUUGUACGGAACGAAAGGUUUCUAUUAAUACUAGGAGCUCAUGACGGUACCGUAAGAAUAAGCACCGGCUAACUACGUGCCAGCAGCCGCGGU